UCGAAAUCAAAAGAAGCAAUGUCCUAAAGGACUUGACAUUAAGGACUUCUAAGCUCACGUGUCUUACUGUACAACAAACCUUCAAAUUUCUUGUUUUUCUGGUGAAAAUGUUUGACUCAGAAGUCGACCAACAAUGUUUCAAUGAAGAAGAAUUAAAAACUGUGUUAAAGAACUGGAGCUCUGAUUUAUCCAGAACAAACGACGAUGUAGGUCUUGUGAUGUUUGUGAUCAUAUCAAUGAUAACUGACGUCCACCACGCUGAAAAUUUAUUGGAGUACCAUGACAAGAUACACGAGCUAAA